GAGUUUGAUCCUGGCUCAGGAUGAACGCUAGCGGCAGGCUUAACACAUGCAAGUCGAGGGGUAGAGUUAGCUUGCUAACUUGAGACCGGCGCACGGGUGCGUAACGCGUAUGCAAUCUACCUUGUACAGGGGGAUAGGCCCAGAGAAAUUUGGAUUAAUACCCCAUAGUGUUAUGAUGUGGCAUCACAUUAUAACUAAAAGUUCCAACGGUACAAGAUGAGCAUGCGUCCCAUUAGCUAGUUGGUGUGGUAACGGCAUACCAAGGCAACGAUGGGUAGGGGUCCUGAGAGGGAGAUCCCCCAACACUGGUACUGGAGACACGGACCAGACUCCUACGGGAGGCAGGCAGUGAGGAAUAGUUGGU
rnacentral:rRNA from 1 species